rnacentral:rRNA from 1 species
CGAGGAAUACUGGUCAAUGGGCGCAAGCCUGAACCAGCCAUCCCGCGUGCAGGAGGACGGCGCUAUGCGUUGUAAACUGCUUUUCCAGGGAGAGAAACUUGCGCACGUGUUGCGCAAUUGACGGUACCCUGGGAAUAAGCAUCGGCUAACUCCGUGCCAGCAGCCGCGGUAAUACGGAGGAUGCGAGCGUUAUCCGGAUUCAUUGGGUUUAAAGGGUGCGUAGGCGGACUAUUAAGUCAGUGGUGAAAUCCUGCAGCUUAACUGCAGAACUGCCAUUGACACUGAUAGCCUUGAGUUUGGUUAAGGUAGGCGGAAUGUGUAAUGUAGCGGUGAAAUGCUUAGAUAUUACACAGAACACCAAUUGCGUAGGCAGCUUACUGAGCCGACACUGACGCUGAGGCACGAAAGCGUGGGGAUCGAACAG